rnacentral:tRNA from 1 species
AAAGCUUUAAGUUAUUUAAACUAUUAACCUUCAAAGUUAAAAAUAAACACCAUUAAGCUUUA